rnacentral:sRNA from 1 species
AUAACAAACUCAUAAGGUUAGUAAAGUUUAAGGCGGUUAGCAAUUCUCAUUUCUGGGGGGGUGCUUAUGAGUGUAACAACUCUGCAACGCAUUCUAAAGAAAGGAAUUUGCAAAAUGUCUGUUUAUGAAACGCUAAGCCUAAUGAUUGCUUUUGCGACAUUAAUCGUGCUAGUGAAUAAUAAUA